rnacentral:lncRNA from 1 species
GGAAGCACGGUUCUGCCUUCUCAUGAAGGUGACACGGCCGAGGAUGGUCGGUGACAGGACUCCACACGCCACAUGUGACAGGGACUCGGGCUAGAGCACUCGGCUCCCUCCCUUCCCUGGAAGCGCACGUGACACUUCCAGGCUGCUACCCUGUGCAGGGAGACUGGAAUAUUUGUGGCCACCUCUCUCCGCACCUCUCCUCUCCCCACUCGUGAAUAGAGAGAGAUGCUCGUGUCACCUGGACCCACAGUGGGCAGAGCAGCUGGCCUCCUUUGCCCGGUCUCCUGUUCCUCCGGCACCGAUGACAUGAACUCCUCUGAGAGACAGGCACAUCCUGCAGGUGGAGAAGGGUGAGGAGGGAGGGCAGCCACCCCCAGAGGAGGGAGAUGGGGCCGUCCCAGCACCACAGCGGAGCCCAGGGAGAGCAGGUGCCAGGAGGUGCCAGGAGGAAACCGAGGCAGAGAGGCCCGUACGGUCUCAGGUCGUGUGGGUGCUCUGGGAGGCAGGUGAAACUUGCACACCAGCUCCCCCCAGGCCUGGUUCCGUGGCCACUGGUAGACUGUAGCGGGGACCUUGGUCCAGCAUCACCCAUAAGCUCCAGUCUUUGCACGACGCUCUAGCACCCCGCUUGCUGUGUGUGAGGACUCAGGCUUGCUGUGGGCACCUGCACACUCCUCUUGUUUUAAUAAGCGGACAGCAGUGAUGACAGGAGGCUACCUCAUCAGGCCUUCAGCCACCCCCACCUGCUAGGGCCAGUCAGGAGAAUGGGGACCAGAUGCUCGUCCUCACGCUGGCCCCACAGCCCGCCUUGGAAGUGCCUGGGUAUUUACCAUUUCCUCCUCUCUGGCAUCCGGGGCUGUGACCCUGUGGUCAUCCCACCUGGCAGGACAGAGACACCCAGCGUGUGCCACACCUCCUCCCAGGCACCGGGAUCAGCUACCAACCCUGCCCUUGGCUCCCGCCUUUCUUACAGGACUGCUGUGCUGGCAGGGUGCCCCCCAGAGAGCACCCUAUUCCUUCAAGGUGCAAACUCAGAUGACAGAGUGUGCUGA